GAGUCCAGUCCUUCGGGACUGAGGCGAGUGGCGGACGGGUGAGUAACACGUGAGCAAUCUAUCCUGUUGCGGGGGACAACGAGGGGAAACCUUCGCUAAUACCGCAUGGUCGAGAGAGUCUAUGACUUUUUCGGGAAACGUGGCCUCUUAACAAUGCUACGGUGGCAGGAGGAGCUCGCGGGCUAUCAGCUAGUUGGUGAGGUAACGGCUCACCAAGGCGACGACGGCUACGGGGUCUGAGAGGACGACCCCGCACAUUGGAACUGAGACACGGUCCAGACUCCUACGGGAGGCAGCAGUGGGGAAUAUUGGGCAAUGGCCGAAAGGCUGACCCAGCGACGCCGCGUGUGGGAGGAAGCCCUUCGGGGUGUAAACCACUGUCAGGAGGGACGAAAGAGCGCGAGGUGAAUAAUCUCGUGCAGUGACGGUACCUUCAAAGGAAGCACCGGCUAACUCUGUGCCAGCAGCCGCGGUAAUACAGAGGGUGCAAGCGUUGUUCGGAAUUACUGGGCGUAAAGCGCGCGCAGGCGGAUCCUGCAAGUCGGAAGUGAAAUUUCGGGGCUCAACUCCGAAGCUGCUUCUGAUACUGCGGAUCUGGGGACCGGUAGAGGCUGGUGGAAUUGCAGGUGUAGCGGUGGAAUGCGUAAAGAUCUGCAAGAACACCCGUGGCGAAGGCGGCCAGCUGGGCCGGGUCCGACGCUGAGGCGCGAAAAGCGUGGGGAGCAAACAGGAUUAGAUACCCUGGUAGUCCACGCCGUAAACGAUGGGCACUAGGUGCCG
rnacentral:rRNA from 1 species